GCCAGGUGUGGUGACACACACCUGUAAUCCUAGCAACUAGGAAGGCUGAGACAGGAGGAUCGCUAAGUUUGAGGCUAGUCUCAGCAACUUAGCAAGGCCCUCAGAAACUGAAUGAGACCCUAUCUCAG
rnacentral:sRNA from 1 species